UACGGGGGGGGCAAGCGUUGUUCGGAAUUACUGGGCGUAAAGCGUGCGCAGGCGGCUUUGCAAGACAGAUGUGAAAUCCCCGGGCUCAACCUGGGAACUGCAUUUGUGACUGCAAAGCUAGAGUGCGGCAGAGGGGGAUGGAAUUCCGCGUGUAGCAGUGAAAUGCGUAGAUAUGCGGAGGAACACCGAUGGCGAAGGCAAUCCCCUGGGCCUGCACUGACGCUCAUGCACGAAAGCGUGGGGAGCAAACAGG
rnacentral:rRNA from 1 species